UACGGAGGAUCCAAGCGUUAUCCGGAAUCAUUGGGUUUAAAGGGUCCGUAGGCGGGUCAAUAAGUCAGUGGUGAAAGUCUGCAGCUUAACUGUAGAAUUGCCAUUGAUACUGUUGACCUUGAGUAAUUAUGAAGUGGUUAGAAUAUGUAGUGUAGCGGUGAAAUGCAUAGAUAUUACAUAGAAUACCGAUUGCGAAGGCAGAUCACUAAUAAUUUACUGACGCUGAGGGACGAAAGCGUAGGUAGCGAACAGG
rnacentral:rRNA from 1 species